rnacentral:rRNA from 1 species
GACAGAGGGUGCAAACGUUGUUCGGAAUUACUGGGCGUAAAGCGCGUGUAGGCGGCCAUGUAGGUCCGGUGUGAAAACUCGAGGCUUAACCUCGAGAUGUCAUCGGAAACCAUUUGGCUAGAGUCCGGAAGAGGAGAGUGGAAUUCCUGGUGUAGCGGUGAAAUGCGCAGAUAUCAGGAAGAACACCAAUGGCGAAAGCAGCUCUCUGGGACGGUACUGACGCUGAGACGCGAAAGCGUGGGGAGCGAACAGG